GUGAACGCUGGCGGUAGGCCUAAUACAUGCAAGUCGAACGGCAGCACAGUAAGAGCUUGCUCUUACGGGUGGCGAGUGGCGGACGGGUGAGGAAUACAUCGGAAUCUACUUUUUCGUGGGGGAUAACGUAGGGAAACUUACGCUAAUACCGCAUACGACCUACGGGUGAAAGCAGGGGAUCUUCGGACCUUGCGCGAUUGAAUGAGCCGAUGUCGGAUUAGCUAGUUGGCGGGGUAAAGGCCCACCAAGGCGACGAUCCGUAGCUGGUCUGAGAGGAUGAUCAGCCACACUGGAACUGAGACACGGUCCAGACUCCUACGGGAGGCAGCAGUGGGGAAUAUUGGACAAUGGGCGCAAGCCUGAUCCAGCCAUACCGCGUGGGUGAAGAAGGCCUUCGGGUUGUAAAGCCCUUUUGUUGGGAAAGAAAAGCAGCAGGUUAAUACCCCGCUGUUCUGACGGUACCCAAAGAAUAAGCACCGGCUAACUUCGUG
rnacentral:rRNA from 1 species